rfam:Loxodonta africana unplaced genomic scaffold scaffold_1, whole genome shotgun sequence.
GGAGGCUUGGCAUAGUGGUUAAGAGCUUGGCUGCUAACCAAAAGGUCGGCAGUUUGAAUCUACCAGCUGCUC